CAGUAGCCGCGGUAAUACGGAGGGCGCGAGCGUUACCCGGAUUUACUGGGCGUAAAGGGCGUGUAGGCGGCCUGGGGCGUCCCAUGUGAAAGGCCACGGCUCAACCGUGGAGGAGCGUGGGAUACGCUCAGGCUAGAGGGUGGGAGAGGGUGGUGGAAUUCCCGGAGUAGCGGUGAAAUGCGCAGAUACCGGGAGGAACGCCGAUGGCGAAGGCAGCCACCUGGUCCACUUCUGACGCUGAGGCGCGAAAGCGUGGGGGGCAGACCGGAUUAGAUACCCCUGUAGUCCCUGUCUCUUAUAC
rnacentral:rRNA from 1 species